UUGGAGCGUUCACUUCGGACAGUUCUUUAACAGUAUAUAUUGUCUUCGCUUUAGCUACUAAACGCAUAAGCCAAACUGAACGCUUUUUCCCAUAUUGAUUCGCUCGAUCGUUCGAACUUCGCAGCCAAGUUAAAGGAAGGGUACAUGUGUUGUAUAUGAUUCAGACAAACUUGACCAGAUGUAAGAAAUCACAUCUUCUACGUAUGUAAAAACAAGCUUUGUCAGCCGGGCGGUUACUGUGCGGAUUCAUUGUCAAGAAUCUUAGUGACUCAGCAGCGGCGAGGGCCUAAGGGAUUUAGUAAACGCAUUAACACAUUCAUUUGUUCCACCUUCGUAACUAGCACCUGCAAUCAAAACUGACACCACCAAUUUGGAUAGCAAUGAAUGAUCACUACAGCUUUUCUGUACAAUAUACUAAAUAGUUAAACUUCACCCACAGCCGAGGGUAUUAUUUAUUUACAGAGGCAACUUUUUAAUUUAUAAAAAAGGACAUGGCGGAUUUUUCACAAAUUAUUUUCCAGGGCUAGUCAGCGUCAGCGUUUUAAUGUACAUUUAUUUUCCGGCCAUUAAACAGUGUACUUUAACAAUAAAUUUAGCUUUGUUAUCUGCAGACAAUUAAAAAUUUUUGUCCACCUAAAUUAGGUGGUGAUGUGAGCGUCUUGAAAGUGCAAGAGACAACGCUACCACCACUAUCGCCGCGUUGACGUGUGAUUACAGCGUCCCUUCGCUCCGCUGGUGGCACUGGCCUCUGCUCGGGCAGCCUUUCCUGCCGCGCCGCUGCUGCCGAGUUAUUGUUGCGGUGCAUGAAGUUCCGAAUAUUUUCCUCAGUGUAGUCCACAAUUCGGCGCUUCUUGCGGCGGCCGUACUGUUUCUGCUUCAAAUAAAUUUUCAGAAUUCCCUUGACCGUUAUAAAGGUCAGACCUCCAAGCAGAGUACGAUGCAAUGUGUUAUCAACCGUGUCAAAGAGAAUACGUCCCACGAUCGACGAUAUGGUGGGCAGCAAGAGAGCGCCGCAGAAGACCCUCGUGGCUGAGACAGGGUCAGAGAGAGCCGGUGUGGCCGGAUUGCUGAUGCUUUGCUGUUCCUCUUCCUGGCUGCUGCUUAAAUGUAAAGUAAUAAAAGUCUGCUAACCCUGACAUUGUUGAUGCACUUACAGGUUCGGAUAAAUAAGGCUUACAAAAGGAAACUUCCGCACCACCGUCCCGCGGUUUCGAAUAAGACGCAACAAUGCAUCCUCCCAGCGAAUCAAUCGACCAAGCACAAGCCCCACUGGAAUAGCCGGCAACCCAAUAAGGAGAACGAGCGGAUCUCCAGACUCCAUUAUGGACAUGCCGUGCUCAUGUCCGACAAUCUACAGACAAUUAAUUCUCUUAGCAUGACAACUGAUUAAAAAUGAUAGGUUGUACCUGU
rnacentral:lncRNA from 1 species